rnacentral:rRNA from 1 species
GGGUUCUGAUGCUAUUGCACCACAUGUGUUUUUCUUUGAAACAAACUUGCUUUGGCGGUGGGCCCAGCCUGCCGCCAGAGGUCUAAACUUACAACCAAUUUUUUAUCAACUUGUCACACCAGAUUAUUACUUAAUAGUCAAAACUUUCAACAACGGAUCUCUUGGUUCUCGCAUCGAUGAAGAACGCAGCGAAAUGCGAUACGUAAUAUGAAUUGCAGAUAUUCGUGAAUCAUCGAAUCUUUGAACGCACAUUGCGCCCUCUGGUAUUCCGGAGGGCAUGCCUGUUUGAGCGUCGUUUCUCCCUCAAACCGCUGGGUUUGGUGUUGAGCAAUACGACUUGGGUUUGCUUGAAAGACGGUAGUGGUAAGGCGGGAUCGCUUUGACAAUGGCUUAGGUCUAACCAAAAACAUUGCUUGCGGCGGUAACGUCUACCACGUAUAUCUUCAAACUUUGACCUCAAAUCAGGUAGGACUACCCGCUGAACUUAAGCAUAUCAAAAGCCGGGAGGAA